GUCAGUUUGAUGGGCCCAUUUAAUUUGCAGAUCCAGUGGGCCUGCUGUUGGAGGAGUUUCUGGCUGUAAGGGAAGGCAGCAGACCCUAAAUACUAAAGCGUGGGACAGACAGACCUGGACCAAUCCCAGCUCAUUCCCUCAUGGGCUACAUGAUGUCAGAAAUGCAGGUUAGACUUUCCUGGUGGGGCAGUGGUUAAGAAUCUGC